rnacentral:rRNA from 1 species
AUACGUAGGUGGCAAGCGUUGUCCGGAAUUAUUGGGCGUAAAGCGCGCGCAGGCGGUCCUUUAAGUCUGAUGUGAAAGCCCACGGCUCAACCGUGGAGGGUCAUUGGAAACUGGGGGACUUGAGUGCAGAAGAGGAAAGUGGAAUUCCAAGUGUAGCGGUGAAAUGCGUAGAGAUUUGGAGGAACACCAGUGGCGAAGGCGGCUGUCUGGUCUGUAACUGACGCUGAGGCGCGAAAGCGUGGGGAGCAAACAGGAUUAGAUACCCUGGUAGUCCACGCCGUAAACGAUGAGUGCUAAGUGUUGGGGGGUUUCCGCCCCUCAGUGCUGCAGCUAACGCAUUAAGCACUCCGCCUGGGGAGUACGGUCGCAAGACUGAAACUCAAAUGAAUUGACGGGG